AUACGGAGGGUGCAAGCGUUAUUCGGAAUCACUGGGCGUAAAGGACGCGUAGGCGGGUUGGCAAGUCAGAUGUGAAAUCCUACAGCUUAACUGUAGAACUGCAUUUGAAACUGCUAACCUAGAGUAUGAGAGGGGGAGAUGGAAUUAGUGGUGUAGGGGUAAAAUCCGUAGAUAUCACUAGGAAUACCGAAAGCGAAGGCGAUCUCCUGGAACAUAACUGACGCUAAGGCGUGAAAGCGUGGGGAGCAAACAGUAUUAGAAACCCUAGUAGUCC
rnacentral:rRNA from 1 species